rnacentral:rRNA from 1 species
UGGGGAAUAUUGCACAAUGGGCGCAAGCCUGAUGCAGCAACGCCGCGUGCGGGAUGACGGCCUUCGGGUUGUAAACCGCUUUUAGUAGGAAAGAAGGGCUUCGGCUUGACGGUACCUGCAGAAAAAGGACCGGCUAACUACGUGCCAGCAGCCGCGGUAAUACGUAGGGUCCGAGCGUUGUCCGGAAUUAUUGGGCGUAAAGAGCUCGUAGGCGGUUUGUCGCGUCUGCUGUGAAAUCCCGAGGCUCAACCUCGGGCCUGCAGUGGGUACGGGCAGACUGGAGUGCGGUAGGGGAGAAUGGAAUUCCUGGUGUAGCGGUGGAAUGCGCAGAUAUCAGGAGGAACACCGACGGCGAAGGCAGUUCUCUGGCCGUAACUGACGCUGAGGAGCGAAAGCGUGGGGAGCGAACAGGAUUAGAUACCCUGGUAGUCCACGCCGUAAACGUUGGGCGCUAGAUGUGGGGACCUUUCCACGGUUUCCGUGUCGUAGCUAACGCAUUAAGCG